UACUUUUUAUCGGGCACACGCCCAAUGGCAUCCAGUUGAGAAACCUUUGUGUGGUUGUGAAGGGGCUUCUGUGUCGCGUCAAAUAUGUCGUAGAACGCCUUUGCAGUCGGCUCUGGCUCAUCAUUCGUACAUCCUCCGGCGUACUGUGCCUCAUGAUAGUCGUUCAACAUAUCCACUACCCCUACAUCGGCAUCAUAAAGCUCGACGCGUUGUCUCAGCACCUCCUCUCUCGUACGAUGCGCUUCACCAUAAAAGAUCCACCUAGUAUAGCCCAGCGUAAAUCCAUACUUCCAAAUAUGUUAUACCAUGGACUUCUUUGAUUUUCUUUUCUGUUUGGCACAUUUGUUGUACGGGCAUGGGACUAGACUCGCUCCUUUAGCAGCUUCGCCAUAUGCCCGUUCCACAAAAUCAUCGGUCUUUCUAAUCCACUCAGGGGUGACAUCAUUCCUUCCUACAUGACCCAUGUACAUCUACUCACGGUCCUCCAUCCUCUAGCAUAUAUAACCGAAGCCUAUCAAUAGAAAAUUUUGACAGCACCUCCCCUGCACGGGGAGGUUUCUAAAACCUGCAAAUAAAAGUAUCAACACGAUGGCUGACAUCCACGCAUAUUUCAAUGGUACGAUGGCCGACAAUCACAUCUAUAUAUAUUCAAUCCAUGAGAGAUAGCACAACAACACUACAUAACUACAUAGCCACAUGCAAAACUACAUUUAUAUUAUAAUGAGAUGCCUCUAGCUAG
rnacentral:lncRNA from 1 species